AUUGAACGCUGGCGGCAUGCCUUACACAUGCAAGUCGAACGGCAGCACGGGUACUUGUACCUGGUGGCGAGUGGCGAACGGGUGAGUAAUACAUCGGAACGUACCUUAUCGUGGGGGAUAACGCAGCGAAAGCUGUGCUAAUACCGCAUACGCCCUGAGGGGGAAAGCGGGGGAUCGAAAGACCUCGCGCGAUUAGAGCGGCCGAUGCUUGAUUAGCUUGUUGGUGGGGUAAAAGCCCACCAAGGCGACGAUCAAUAGCUGGUCUGAGAGGACGAUCAGCCACACUGGGACUGAGACACGGCCCAGACUCCUACGGGAGGCAGCAGUGGGGAAUUUUGGACAAUGGGGGCAACCCUGAUCCAGCAAUGCCGCGUGAGUGAAGAAGGCCUUCGGGUUGUAAAGCUCUUUUGUCAGGGAAGAAACACCGGCUCUAACACAGUCCGGGAAUGACGGUACCUGAAGAAUAAGCUACGUG
rnacentral:rRNA from 1 species